UACGUAGGGUGCAAGCGUUAAUCGGAAUUACUGGGCGUAAAGCGUGCGCAGGCGGCGCGUUAAGACAGGUGUGAAAGCCCCCGAGCUUAACUUGGGAAUUGCGCUUGUGACUGGCGUGCUGGAGUGUGGCAGAGGGAGGUGGAAUUCCACGUGUAGCAGUGAAAUGCGUAGAGAUGUGGAGGAACACCGAUGGCGAAGGGCAGCCUCCUGGGCCAGCACUGACGCUCAUGCACGAAAGCGUGGGGAGCAAACAGG
rnacentral:rRNA from 1 species